AUCACCUAGGGAGCUUAUUAAAAUGCAGAUUCUAAUGUAGUAGAUUUGGGGUGCAGUGAGACUCUGCAUUUCUAAUAAGCUCCCUGGCGGUACCAA
rnacentral:pre_miRNA from 1 species